rnacentral:tRNA from 1 species
GGGGAUGUAGCUCAGUGGGAGAGCGCCUGCUUCGCAAGCAGGAGGUCGCGGGUUCGACUCCCGUCAUCUCCACCA